GAUGAACGCUGGCGGCGUGCCUAAUACAUGCAAGUCGAGCGAACGGACGAGAAGCUUGCUUCUCUGAUGUUAGCGGCGGACGGGUGAGUAACACGUGGAUAACCUACCUAUAAGACUGGGAUAACUUCGGGAAACCGGAGCUAAUACCGGAUAAUAUUUUGAACCGCAUGGUUCAAAAGUGAAAGACGGUCUUGCUGUCACUUAUAGGUGGAUCCGCGCUGCAUUAGCUAGUUGGUAAGGUAACGGCUUACCAAGGCAACGAUGCAUAGCCGACCUGAGAGGAUGAUCGGCCACACUGGAACUGAGACACGGUCCAGACUCCUACGGGGGGCAGCAGUAGGGAAUAUUGCGCAAUGGGCGAAAGCCUGACGGAGCAACGCCGCGUGAGUGAUGAAGGUCUUCGGAUCGUAAAACUCUGUUAUUAGGGAAGAACAUAUGUGUAAGUAACUGUGCACAUCUUGACGGUACCUAAUCAGAAAGCCACGGCUAACUACGUG
rnacentral:rRNA from 1 species